rnacentral:rRNA from 1 species
CGAAGGGUGCAAGCGUUACUCGGAAUUACUGGGCGUAAAGCGUGCGUAGGUGGUCGUUUAAGUCCGUUGUGAAAGCCCUGGGCUCAACCUGGGAACUGCAGUGGAUACUGGGCGACUAGAGUGUGGUAGAGGGUAGCGGAAUUCCUGGUGUAGCAGUGAAAUGCGUAGAGAUCAGGAGGAACAUCCAUGGCGAAGGCAGCUACCUGGACCAACACUGACACUGAGGCACGAAAGCGUGGGAGCAAACAGGAUU